rnacentral:pre_miRNA from 7 species
UCCCUGCUGCAUGUGGAUCAGGAUGUAAAGCCCACAGCUACUGCUCCUGUAAGACCCCCUUUCGGGGACCCCCACUCUAGUCUCGGGAGAGAGAGCACACCCAAAGAAACAUGAGAAUCC